rnacentral:lncRNA from 10 species
AUCUAAAACUCUGAAGUUAUAAAAUGGUCAGAAGAAAACAUUGGUAUAAAUCUUCAUGACCUUAGAUUAGGCAAUGGUUUCUUAGAUAUAAUACCUAAAAAGUACAAGUGCCCAAAGAAUGAAUACAUAAAUGGGACUUCAACAACAUUAGAAACUUCUACACUUGUAAGGACACUAUCAAGAAAGUGAACAUCAUUAGUCAUUAGGGAAAUGUAAAUCAAAACCAAAAUGAGAUACUACUUCAUACCCACUAAGAUGGCUAAAAUUUUUAAAAAGGAAAAAACAAGCACUAGCAAAGAUGUGAAGAUAUUAGAAUCAUUGUAUGUUGCUGGUAGAAAGAAAAAAUGGUGCAGCUAAUGUGGAAAACAUUUUGGCAUUUCCUCAAUAAUUUUAAGAUAAAGUUACCAUAUGAUGUAGUAUUUCCAUUUAUAGGUAUAUCCCCAAGAGAACUGAAAACAUAUGUGUACACAAAUGUUCACAGCAGCAUUAUUCACAAUAGCCAAAAAGUACAAGCAACCCAAAUGUCCACCAACUGAUAAAAUGGAAAAACAAAGUAAGGCAUAACUACCCAAUAAGAUAUUG